rnacentral:rRNA from 1 species
GACGAACGCUGGCGGCGUGCCUAACACAUGCAAGUCGAACGAGGUCCAUGCAGUGGCAACACUGCGGAAGACCUAGUGGCGAACGGGUGAGUAACACGUGAGGAACCUGCCCCGAAGACCGGGAUAACUCUCCGAAAGGAGCGCUAAUACCGGAUGCCCCCACCGAACCGCAUGGUUUGGUGAGGAAAUGGAUUCCGCUUCGGGAGGGCCUCGCGGCCUAUCAGCUAGUUGGUGGGGUAACGGCCCACCAAGGCAUCGACGGGUAGCUGGUCUGAGAGGACGAUCAGCCACACUGGGACUGAGACACGGCCCAGACUCCUACGGGAGGCAGCAGUGGGGAAUCUUGCGCAAUGGGCGAAAGCCUGACGCAGCAACGCCGCGUGGGCGAUGAAGGUCUUCGGAUCGUAAAGCUCUGUGGGGGGAGAAGAAGAAAGCCGGUGAAGAGCCGGCCCUGACGGUAUCCCCUUAGCAAGCACCGGCUAACUCCGUGCCAGCAGCCGCGGUAAAG